rnacentral:tRNA from 1 species
AGACUAGUAGCGGAGUGGUCAAACGCGCGAGAUUUAAGAUUUAAACCUUUUGGCGCAGGACACAGGCUCCGGACGCCGAGACCCGCAGAUGCUGCGGUGUAUCCUUUCCUCGUCCUUCGGGUUCGUGGGUUCGAACCCCACCUAGUCUA